AACCUGGUUGUUAGGUGUUGGAUAUUUGUGUUUAGGUUAAAUGUUGUUGAUCUGAUCAUAAACGGUCACAGUAACCUGGUUGUUAGGUGUUGGAUAUUUGUGUUUAGGUUAAAUGUUGUUGAUCGGAUCAUAAACGGUCACAGUAACCUGGUUGUUAGGUGUUGUAUCUUUGUGUUUAGGUUAAAUGUUGUUGAUCGGAUCAUAAACGGU